GCGUGCCAUUAGCUAGUUGGCGAGGUAACGGCUCACCAAGGCGACGAUGGCUAGGGGUUCUGAGAGGAUGAUCCCCCACAUUGGAACUGAGACACGGUCCAAACUCCUACGGGAGGCAGCAGUGAGGAAUAUUGGUCAAUGGGCGGAAGCCUGAACCAGCCAUGCCGCGUGAAGGAAGACGGCCCUAAGGGUUGUAAACUUCUUUUGUACUUGGGUAAAGUCAGUUACGUGUAAUUGAUUGAAAGUAAAGUACGAAUAAGGAUCGGCUAACUCCGUGCCAGCAGCCGCGGUAAUACGGAGGAUCCAAGCGUUAUCCGGAUUUAUUGGGUUUAAAGGGUGCGCAGGCGGGCUAGUAAGUCAGUGGUGAAAGACUGCCGCUUAACGGUAGCAUUGCCAUUGAUACUGCAAGUCUUGAGUACAUUUGAAGUGGGCGGAAUGUGUAGUGUAGCGGUGAAAUGCUUAGAUAUUACACAGAACACCGAUAGCGUAGGCAGCUCACUAAGAUGCAACUGACGCUCAGGCACGAAAGCGUGGGGAUCAAACAGGAUUAGAUACCCUGGUAGUCCACGCUGUAAACGAUGAUAACUGGCUGUUGGCGAUAGAC
rnacentral:rRNA from 1 species